GAGUUUGAUCCUGGCUCAGGAUGAACGCUGGCGGUGUGCUUAACACAUGCAAGUCGAACGGGCUCAUAUUGAAACCUAGUGAUGUAUGAGUUAGUGGCGGACGGGUGAGUAACGCGUGGAGAACCUGCCGUAUACUGGGGGAUAACACUUAGAAAUAGGUGCUAAUACCGCAUAAGCGCACAGCUUCGCAUGAAGCAGUGUGAAAAACUCCGGUGGUAUACGAUGGAUCCGCGUCUGAUUAGCUGGUUGGCGGGGUAACAGCCCACCAAGGCGACGAUCAGUAGCCGGCCUGAGAGGGUGAACGGCCACAUUGGGACUGAGACACGGCCCAAACUCCUACGGGAGGCAGCAGUGGGGAAUAUUGCACAAUGGGGGAAACCCUGAUGCAGCGACGCCGCGUGAGUGAAGAAGUAUUUCGGUAUGUAAAGCUCUAUCAGCAGGGAAGAAAUACUGACCUUACGGUCAGCAGACGGUACCUGACUAAGAAGCCCCGGCUAACUACGUGCCAGCAGCCGCGGUAAUACGUAGGGGGCAAGCGUUAUCCGGAUUUACUGGGUGUAAAGGGAGCGUAGACGGCAGCGCAAGUCUGAAGUGAAAUCCCAUGGCUUAACCAUGGAACUGCUUUGGAAACUGUGCAGCUGGAGUGCAGGAGAGGUAAGCGGAAUUCCUAGUGUAGCGGUGAAAUGCGU
rnacentral:rRNA from 1 species